UAAAACAUAGCAACAUUUAGUGGAGGGACCGGGAAAAACAAUCACCGCAUGUACUGGAUAAUGAUGUUCAAGAUAUUAUUAAGAUAAGAAGAAUGUACUUUUCUUUGACUAAAAUGGUUAACCACGUCAAUAUUUAAGUCAGGACACUGGUUCAAGAAGUGCAGAAGAUACUUUGCGGGGGAUGUGUCUGAUUGUAUGUUUGAAGAUCAGAAAUGUGUAUAGGAAACACUUCUCCCGCAUCGAACAGACCCUUUUAAUUCUGACACAAGUAAUUGGAAGGCAAAAAGGCUUGCUUAACUCCCAUUAGAAUGGACACAGUUGACUGGCCGUUAUUAUGUUGCAUCUUUCCAUGCGAGGUGUUGACAGGUGGCUAAAUGAGACUAAAUCAUGCAAUGUUCCUAACUGAUCUACAGGUAUGAGAGAGAGAGAGGGGCGGUGGUAACGUGAUCCUCGCCCCCGUGUUUGUGUUUCUGUUUAUUUUACUGUCUCUCUGGAAUCUAUGUCUUAACAAUGGACCUAUUCACGACUUCGAUGUAUUACAUGUAUACAUGAGGCGCAUCGUAAGGAAUUCCGGGGUUAACACUUGAAGGGUGAUUAUCGACAGCUCAGAAGUGAGAGAAGGGGUGUAACUGAAUACGUGGAGGAACCACCUCAUGCAUUCCUGGGGCUCACCCUAGAGAGGUCAACAGGGACGAUGUUUACAGACCUACUCUGGUGUGAGCACCCCUCGGCCACGGCGGCCCAAAACGCAUUAGAAUGACCAGAUCGGCCAAUGCUUGGAAGCGGUGUUUUGAAGAAUUCUUUUGUAUUGGACUGUAAAUGAUAUUUGGCCGAAAUGGGUGACCACAGCUGACCCCGAUCCUGCAUGUCCAGUUUUCUUUUUGUCCAGGGGUAAACAAUAUUUCGAUGAAUUCAAGCUACCGUUUUCGUAUUACCAUAAUUCAUAAAUCAAGGAGCCCCGUCCUUUGUGAUCGUGACAGCUGAUCUUGUCUUUGAGUUGUAAAAAGUCAACUUGACCGAAAAGAAACACUGAGAUAGUAAUUACCCUUAACAAAUACCCGCAUUGUUCACUCUGCAAAAAAUCGUGUUGUCACCAAAAAAAUACUACACUACAGCUUCGGCUCGUCAGUCACAACAAGGAGAGAGAAGUAAUGCAAGACAAAAAAGUAAUUGUUGAAUAAGAAUUAAAGAAUUUGAAAUUGAUAUUAAAAUUUUAUCUUUUGUUCGUGUCUCUGUCUUAUGUCACACACGAGAUAGGACAUAAGCACGGUGGUUUUCUUCAUCCGCAUUCACCUUAAUUACAUGUUUUUGGCUUUUUUCUUAAUCCUCAAAUUUGUCAGCUGAAAUAUGGCAACUUUUUAUCUCUACUCUCCUCUUAAAUCCCAAUUAGAUACACUCAUUUCGGUGAGAUGAGAACACCACCGAAAUUAAAUUUUCUUUAUGCUUUGACCUUCAUUUCGUUUUCUGGUGAACCGCAAAGCUGAUUCUGUCACAAUUUCAUGGGAAAUUGAAAGUAAGUGAAAAUCAAUUAGACUUUCUAAGCCUGCAUAAUGGAACACAAGUAAUUUGCAUACAUCUAUUAUAGCGUUACCCCAUAAGAUAUUGAGGUGUGCGCACAAAGGGGGCUUGCUGAAAAAUGUGCAACUUGCUAUCUUUUUAUAAUAUUUCACUCAAGUUGUUUUAAAAAUAAAAAGCGCAUUAGAAAAUUUUAAAGAAAUAGACAUAAAAAUAAAAUGCCAUUAGAAGAUUCACCAUAAAAUGCUAAAAUUAAAAGAUUUCUUCUGCAAUGGUAUUUUCGGUGUCAGGCAAUAUCUAAUAACAAAAUAACUUGCUAAAAGCUUUAGCAAAAGAUCGAUUUUUCAUUUAAUUGACGACAAGAUUAAGUAAAUCACUCAAUUUAAAAAAAAA